GUCUUUUUUUUUUCUUUCUUCUGUCAUUGCACUGAAAUGUCGGUUAUCAUCACUUGGUUGCCUGUGACUACAUGAUAGAAUCCCGAAAAGGAGGAUAAGCAAGCUGCGCGUUUCCACGUCAGACUUGUGUAACCGUUAUCAUUUGGCUCUUCGCAGGUUGUUUUGAACUUGAGACGUCAUGAGCAAAGCAUUUUUAACGUUACAAUUGCAUUCGGCGCAAUAGCACAGAAAGUGGUAACCCAUAGCGCAGCUCCACUGGUUCCAAAUUUGAUGGACACAGCCAUGAGUUACCUGGCAGUAUUGUGGCAGAGGGUAUCUUGUGCCACAGAAGUACAUACGAACAGUCCAGCAGAAAUACAGCAGCAGCCCAAUCCCAGUCUAUAACUCUGCAGAGGCUCAGAGAGAUAGCAGCAAACCAGGUCCUUCCCACAACUCUCCGCAAGCUCGGGAUUCGUCGCAAAC